rnacentral:lncRNA from 1 species
AACAAGUGCAACUGCAAUUCUCUGUUAAGCGACCUUAAUUCCUUCUUGAAAUCUAAAAGAGUACAAUUUUUCUAUCAGAUAGUAACAUACCACACAUUUAUAUUUAUUUAUUCAAAAAAAAUCCAAGCGGAAACAAUCUGAUAGAAAUAUUAUUAAAAAUUUGAAUCAGGAGUAAGUUGUCCACAUCACUUCAUCAGUGAAAAACUAUCCUCACAAUUUUUUCAAUCAAUAACCCUAUGUUUGAUUCCUGGAAAAUUCAAGGGAAAGAAAAUAGCGAAAAAAGAUAGAAGGAAAAAAACUGGUAAGCAAAUUAUAUAUACAUACAUAUAUAUAUAUAUAUAUUCUCUUGUUCAGUUGUUCAUAAAAAGUUGAAGGAAAGAAACUUAGAUGGUUGAGGAGUGCACUUUCCCCUAACUUUCCUCACAAUUGCUUAAAGAAAAUGGAAGGAAAAUCUUCUAGCAUUUUCUCCAUUUUUUCCUUACCAUUUUCCCUGGCAUCUAAACAAAAAAAAAUUUAAUUAACAUUUUUUCCUUUUUCUUAGCACCUUCCAGAAACUAAGCAUAACCAAAGUGAAAU